AAGGUACUCCCUCCGUCCGUACAUACUUGUCCUGAAAAUGGUUGUAUGUAGACUUAUUUUAGUUAUAGAUGCAUCCAUUUUCAACCAUUUCUAGAACAAGUAUUUUUGGACGGAGGGAGUAUGCU
rfam:Triticum aestivum genome assembly, contig: Triticum_aestivum_CS42_TGACv1_scaffold_570121_7AS